UGGGGAAUAUUGCACAAUGGAGGGAACUCUGAUGCAGCGACGCCGCGUGAACGAAGAAGGCUUUCGAGUCGUAAAGUUCUUUUAUAUGGGAAGAUAAUGACGGUACCAUAAGAAAAAGCCCCGGCUAACUACGUGCCAGCAGCCGCGGUAAUACGUAGGGGGCUAGCGUUGUCCGGAAUCACUGGGCGUAAAGGGUUCGCAGGCGGAAAUGCAAGUCAGGUGUAAAAGGCAGUAGCUUAACUACUGUAAGCAUUUGAAACUGCAUAUCUUGAGAAGAGUAGAGGUAAGUGGAAUUUUUAGUGUAGCGGUGAAAUGCGUAGAUAUUAAAAAGAAUACCGGUGGCAAAGGCGACUUACUGGGCUCAUUCUGACGCUGAGGAACGAAAGCGUGGGUAGCAAACAGG
rnacentral:rRNA from 2 species